rnacentral:rRNA from 1 species
UACGGGGGGAGCAAGCGUUGUUCGGAAUUACUGGGCGUAAAGCGCACGUAGGCGGACUAUUAAGUCAGGGGUGAAAUCCCGGGGCUCAACCCCGGAACUGCCUUUGAUACUGGUAGUCUCGAGUCCGGAAGAGGUGAGUGGAAUCCCGAGUGUAGAGGUGAAAUUCGUAGAUAUUCGGAGGAACACCAGUGGCGAAGGCGGCUCACUGGUCCGGUACUGACGCUGAGGUGCGAAAGCGUGGGGAGCAAACAGG